GAUGAACGCUAGCGGCAGGCCUAACACAUGCAAGUCGAGGGGUAGAGGUUUUCGGACCUUGAGACCGGCGCACGGGUGCGUAACGCGUAUGCAAUCUACCUUUUACAGAGGGAUAGCCCAGAGAAAUUUGGAUUAAUACCUCAUAGUAUCUUUGCCUGGCAUCGGGUGAUUAUUAAAGUUCCAACGGUAAAAGAUGAGCAUGCGUCCUAUUAGCUAGAUGGUAAGGUAACGGCUUACCAUGGCAACGAUAGGUAGGGGUCCUGAGAGGGAGAUCCCCCACACUAGUACUGAGGCACGGACCAGACUCCUAAGGGAGGCAGCAGUGAGGAAUAUUGGACAAUGGGCGCAAGCCUGAUCCAGCCAUGCCGCGUGCAGGAAGACGGUCCUAUGGAUUGUAAACUGCUUUUGUACGGGAAGAAACACUCCUACGUGUAGGAGCUUGACGGUACCGUAAGAAUAAGGAUCGGCUAACUUCGUGCCAGCCGCCGCAGUAAAAC
rnacentral:rRNA from 1 species